rnacentral:rRNA from 1 species
GACGAACGCUGGCGGCGUGCUUAACACAUGCAAGUCGAGCGGAGCGGCGAACGGGUGAGUAACGCGUGAGUAACUGCCCCCCUCUCUGGGAUAACAGUUGGAAACGGCUGCGAAUACCGGAUAGUGGGGGAUGACUCGCGUCCUAUCAGCUUGUCGGGGGGGUGGUGGACGACCAAGGCGACGACGGGUAGCCGGCCUGAGAGGGCGACCGGCCACAUUGGUCUGAGAUACGGCCCAAACUCCUACGGGAGGCAGUGGUGGGGAAUAUUGCACAAUGGGGGAGACCCUGAUGCAGCAACGCCGCGUGCGUGAGGACGGCCUUCGGGUGGUAAACCGCUUUCAGCCAUGACGCGUUAGUGGCAGAAGAAGCACCGGCUAACUACGUGCCAGCAGCCGCGGUAAUAC